AUGGGGGGGCGUCGCCGCCGCAACAGCAGGCGGGAGCACGCGAGCGCGCCGGAGGCCGGUGGUGACCGCGCUCUCCUCGAGAGGGAGGCGUCGGAGGGGGGAGAGAUCCUGAGGAGGAAAAAGGAGAUGAUGGAGGCGAUGGCGGCCACGGAUCUUUCACCGGGCACGAAGCCCGCGACGGAGCCGGCCGGAGCCGGGAAGAAGAAAAGGAAGAAGAUGGUGAAGACGAGGCUACCGCAGGCGCUCAUCAAGCAAAUGAUGGCGAGCCCCUACAGGCCCAUGCCCAUCCCCGACGACGAGCUGGCCAAGCGUCCCAGGUACUACCGCGAGUUCUACGCCACAGCCAUGGAUCGAGCCGACAAGGUCGCGGCCUACCAGCGGGCCCUCGUCAACCAGUACGUGGCCAGGGGCUACGCCGAGGACGAAGAGGAGGUCACCGACGACGAGUCGGAGGAGAACUAG
rnacentral:rRNA from 1 species